rnacentral:lncRNA from 1 species
CCCCAUUGGCUUCGCCUGGCCGGCCACUUUCGACCAUCUGCAUCGGCUUUCCCGGUCGCAGCAGCUUCACACUCAAUCUGCACCGUCGCAGCACCACCAAGGGUCUUUCGGCUGCUCAUCGACAUGCUGACGAGCCGGUCGGCAUGGCGUGUUGUCGGAGAGGAAGAAGACGGGAUCUGAUUGCCUGUUAGCUAAUCUAGUCGUUGUGCUUAGGCCAGUUUGUUUCUCUGUCAAAUAAACAGAAACGCAUGAGCCGCGACAUGUGCGCGCCGUGCAAGUAGCUAGCUUGGGCCGGUUGGACGUGGUCACCACGAUCGACCCGGUGGCCUCGCAGGUAGCGUAGGAGACACGAUCAGCUCUCGUGGGAUGGCGCGAGUCCGGCGGAUCGUGGCGCGUAGUUAGGAUCGCUACCUGCCUCUUUCCCGUUGUAACAGAAUAAAUAGCUGAAAGAAAAACGUGAAAAGGUCGCAAGUUUGCACGCGACGCAAAAAACCUGUCUUCUCUGUGAUUGAGAGAUCGAGUGUCUAAAUUCCCAACAAGUGGUAUUCAGAGCCUCGGUUUUGGCGAUCCUGGCCAUGUCCGAUCACAGAGAACACCCGGACGGAGCGGCGGCGGCGGCCCCCAACGCAGGCGGGGGCGGGCUGGCGCGCUCAGCGACUCCACCACGGUAGCGCAGCCGCGGGCGGAGCCGCGUGAGGCGGGAACGGCAGGUGGUGAUCCACCAGGCGGCGGCCACGGAGCGCGCGCCGUUUGUGCCGGGAGCCGGCACCACGUUCCCGACCCUCACCUCGACCAACUACAUCGAGUGGUCGCUGGUGAUGAAGGUCCAUCUGGAGUCCUGGGGGCUCUGGGAUGCGAUCGAGGGCAACGCGCAGCACGUACGCGACGACAAGUCGGCGCUCGGCGUUCUUCUCCGAGCCGUUCCGCCGGAGAUGCUCGGCUCCAUCGUCGUCAAGGAGAUGGCCAAGGCGGCCUGGGACACGAUCAAGGUGAUGCGGAUGGGCGUACAUCGUGUGCGUGAGGCCACCGUGCAACGUCUUCGCAUGGACUUCGAGCAGAUCGCCUUCCACGACGGCGAGUCCCUUGACGCUUUCGGCAUGCGCAUCACCGGCCUCGUCAACCAACUACGCAUGCUCGGCGACACCGUCGAGGAGGUACGCGUCGUGCAGAAACUAUUACGUGUUGUUCCUCCCCGAUACGCGCAGAUCGCAGUGGCGAUUGAGACCCUUCUGGACCUGAGUACGGUCUCGGUCGAGGAGUUGAUCGGGCGGCUGCGCACCGCCGAGGAGCGAUGCGCGGCGCCCGCGGCGACCCAGGGCAGCGGACAGUUCCUCCUCACCGAACAGCAGUGGGAGGCGCGCAAGAAGGGGCGCGAGUCUGGACAGGGCUCUGGCGGAGCCAACGCCAACGGUGGCGGCGGCCGAGGAGGCGGCCGCGGCAGGAACCAGGGGCGACGGGGCGGUGGCUCCGGUGGCCGCGGUGGCGGCCGUGACAUGAGCAAAGUAAAAUGCUACAACUGCAACCACAUGGGGCACUUCUCGCGCGACUGCACCGAGCCCAGGUGCGAGCGCAAGGAGCAGGUCCACCUUGCGGAGGGCGGCACCGAGGAGUUCACGCUCCUCCUGGCGAGUCUGUGCGAGCUCACCGCACCCACGGAGACGCCCGUGGAGCACGUCCUGCUCAACGAGGAGCACUCGCAGGCGCGCACGGUGCCGAACGGAGGAGAGUGCGACACGGCCUGGUUCCUGGACACAGGCGCGCGCAACCACAUGUCCGGCCGGCGCGAGAUCUUUUCCGAGCUGGACUGUGGUGUGCGCGGCGCGGUGAAGCUGGGGGACGGGUCUACGGUGCAGAUCGAGGGGAGAGGAACCGUCCUCUUCCAAUGCCUCAACGGUGAGCAUCUCAUUCUGUCGGAGGUGUACUAUAUGCCCAGGUUGUGCAGCAACAUCGUCAGCAUAGGGCAACUGGACGAGAGUGGCUACAACGCGCACAUUCGCCACGGCGAGUUCACGCUGUGCGACCCGAACGGGCGGCUAGUCGCGCGUGUGCAGCGAGACCACGGACGCCUGUACGUACUGCGCCUGAACCUGGCGCGACCAGUGUGCCUUGCAAUGCACGCUGGCGACGAAGCAUGGCUGUGGCACGCGCGCUACGGCCACAUCGGAUUCUAGGCGCUCCGUUCGCUCUCACGGGGCAACAUGGUGCACGGUCUGCCCCUCCUCGACGAGGUGGACCGCGUCUGCGAGGCAUGCCUGGCAGGGAAGCACCGUCGAGCUCCUUUCCCUCGCCAAGCACUGAACCGCGCCGGGGAGGUGCUCGAGCUUGUGCACGCGGAUCUGUGCGGGCCGAUCUCCCCUGCUAUGCCGGGAGGGAAGCGGUAUUUCCUCCUGCUCGUCGACGACAAGAGUCGCUUCAUGUGGCUGCGGCUGCUCACGACGAAGGACGAGGCGGAAGCGGCGCUCCGUCAGUUCCAGGCAGCAGCAGAGCGCGAGUCCGGCCACCGUCUCAAGACUCUGCGCACCGAUCGUGGGGGUGAAUUCAACUCCACCAGCCUUGGGGAGUUCUUCGCGGAAUUGGGGGUGCACCGGCAGCUCACCGCCCCAUACACGCCGCAGCAGAACGGCGUGGUCGAACGCCGUAACCAGACGAUCGUCGGCAUGGCAAGGUGCUUGCUCAAGGCCAAGGGUGUUCCGGCUCGCUUCUGGGGCGAAGCCGUGACGACUGCGGUGCACCUACUCAACAGGGCGACAACCAAGAGCGUGACCGGCAUGACCCCAUACCAGGCGUGGUGUGGGAGCCGGCCAAGUGUCCAGCACUUUCGUACCUUUGGGUGCGUCGCUCACGUGAAGGUGACACGCCCGAACGUGAAGAAGUUGGACGACCGGAGUGUGCCCAUGGUGUUCCUCGGGUACGAGCCUGGAUCAGCGGCUUACCGUGUCUAUCACCCACCCUUCGGGCGAGCUCAUGUCUCGCGCGACGUCGUGUUCGACGAGAGUGCAUCAUGGGACGAGCUCUGUGGUAGAAGGACAGAGCGUCGGCAUGGACGUCUUCACCAUCGAGCUGGUGCCUGCUGGCGCCCGGGCAGAGCCGGUGCAUGCUUCCCCUGGCACGCAUGAUGCGGUGCCCACGCCCACUACCGAGCCAUCCACGCCACAGAGCGCGACCUGCGCGCCCUCACCUGCCUCCCCGACGUACGGAACGCCCAUCUCGACACCAACGGGCGUUGAAUUCGUCUCACCACCCACCGGUGCGUCGGAAGCACCUGCCGGCGCGGAGGCGCCGCGCCGGUACCGCACCCUUGAGAACGUGUGGGACACGACGGAGGAGGUGGAGGCCGUCUACAGCGACAGCGACCUGUGCCUGCUCGCGGGCGAGGAGCCGGCCUCGUUCACUGAGGCAGAGAGGGAUCAGGGAUGGCGCACAGCAAUGGACGAAGAAAUGCAGAGUAUAAUCGCCAACAACACCUGGGAGCUGAGCGAGCUCCCACCUGGUCACCGUCCGAUCGGCCUGAGAUGGGUCUAUAAACUGAAGAAGGACGCUCGUGGCGCCGUGGUGAAGCACAAGGCGCGCUUGGUGGCAAAAGGCUAUGUCCAGCGGCAGGGCAUCGACUUCGAGGAAGUUUUUGCACCAGUCGCGAGAAUGGACUCGGUGCGUGUGCUCAUCGCACUCGCGGCGCACCACGGCUGGCAGGUUCAUCACAUGGACGUCAAGUCCGCAUUCCUGAACGGGGAUUUGCUCGAAGAAGUCUACGUGCAGCAGCCGCCGGGGUACGCUGUGGCCGGUCAGGAAGACAAAGUGCUGCGCCUCCGCAAGGCACUCUAUGGGCUCCGCCAGGCGCCGAGGGCCUGGAACGCAAAGCUGGACGAGAGCCUCUGCGCGCUGGGCUUCGAGCGCUGCCCGUCAGAGCACGCGGUGUACCGACGCGGCACAGGCGGCUCCCUCCUCAUCGUCGGAGUCUACGUAGAUGACCUCAUCAUCACCGGCGCGGCCACAUCAGAGAUCGACGUCUUCAAGCAGCAAAUGACCAGGCUGUUCCGCAUGAGCGAUUUGGGCAAGCUCAACUACUACCUCGGGAUCGAGGUGAGCCAGGAGUGCGACCGGAUCGUGCUCGGGCAGGCGGCCUAUGCCAAGCGGCUGCUGGAGCGUGCGGGCAUGGAGGACUGCAACCCUUGCAACACUCCCAUGGAGGCUCGGCUCAAAUUGAGCAAGGAGAGCGCCGCGGCCCCGGUGGACAAGACCAAGUAUCGUAGCAUCAUCGGCGGGCUGAGGUAUCUGGUACACACAAGACCCGACAUUACGUUUGCAGUAGGGUACUUGAGCAGGUUCAUGGAGAAGCCUGCCUCCGACCACUACGCUGCCGUAAAGCACCUUCUGCGGUACGUAGCGGGGACACUGGACCACGGCUGCGCAUAUGAGCGCGGCGGGGGGGAGCUGCGGCUAACCGGCUACAGCGACUCGGAUCACGCCGGGGACACGGACGACAGGAAGAGCACGACGGGGGUGAUCUUCCUCCUCGGCAAGAGCCCGGUGAGCUGGCAGUCCCAAAAGCAAAGGGUGGUGGCGAUCUCAUCGUGCGAGGCAGAGUACAUGGCCACCACCACCGCUGCGUGUCAGGGUAUUUGGCUGGCGCGGCUACUUGGCGAGAUGUUGAACAAGGAGGCCGUUCUGCCGAAGCUUCUCGUCGACAACAAGUCGGCGAUUUCCCUGGUGAAGAACCCUGUGUUCCACGAUCGCAGUAAACACAUAGAGAUCAGGUACCACUUCAUUCGUGAGUGUGUGGAGCAGGGGCGAAUCUACAUCGACUACGUCAGAACUAGUGAUCAACUGGCUGAUUCUCUGACGAAGGCACUUGGACGUCUCAUCUUUCAGGAGCUGAAGAAGAGGAUCGGUAUGGUUGAAAUAAUUUGCCAACGUCAAGAUUAGGGGGGUGAUUUGUUAGCUAAUCUAGUCGUUGUGCUUAGGCCAGUUUGUUUCUCUGUCAAAUAAACAGAAACGCAUGAGCCGCGACAUGUGCGCGCCGUGCAAGUAGCUAGCUUGGGCCGGUUGGACGUGGUCACCACGAUCGACCCGGUGGCCUCGCAGGUAGCGUAGGAGACAUGAUCAGCUCUCGUGGGAUGGCGCGAGUCCGGCGGAUCGUGGCGCGUAGUUAGGAUCGCUACCUGCCUCUUUCCCGUUGUAACAGAAUAAAUAGCUGAAAGAAAAACGUGAAAAGGUCGCAAGUUUGCACGCG